rnacentral:rRNA from 1 species
GAUGAACGUUGGCGGCAGGUUUGACACAUGCAAGUCGAACGGUAGAGGGGAGCUUGCUCCCCUUGAGAGUGGCGAACGGCUGAGUAACACGUAGGAACGUACCCCACAGACAGGGACAACAGACCGAAAGGCCUGCUAAUACCUGAUAUAUCCUUCGGGAGGAAAUGGUCCGCCGCUGUGGGAGCGGCCUGCGGCGUAUUAGGUAGUAGGUGAGGUAAUGGCUCACCUAGCCAGAGAUGCGUAGCUGGUCUGAGAGGAUGAUCAGCCAGACUGGGACUGAGACACGGCCCAGACUCCUACGGGAGGCAGCAGUUCAGAAUCUUGCACAAUGGGCGAAAGCCUGAUGCAGCCAUGCCGCGUGAGCGAAGAAGGCCCUCGGGUCGUAAAGCUCUGUCAGAGGGGAAGAUAAUGACGGUACCCUCAAAGGAGCAACGGCUAAUUACGUG